CUUGUUUUUUCUGUGGGUUUUGGUGCUUUGAUUUUUGUUCCAGUGUUCAAGGCCCUAACUGGAUUGCCUCCAUAUAUGGGCAUGCUUCUUGGGCUUGGAGUACUUUGGAUUGUUACAGAUGCUAUUCAUUAUGGUGAAUCAGAAAGGCAGAAGUUAAAAGUACCGCAGGCUUUAUCUCGGAUUGACACUCAAGGAGCCCUUUUUUUCCUUGGAAUCCUUUUGUCAGUCAGCAGCCUGGAGGCAGCAGGGAUUCUUCGCGAAUUGGCAAAUUACCUUGA
rnacentral:misc_RNA from 1 species